GCGGGUGUAGUACAAUGGUAGUACACUAGCUUCCCAAGCUAGGCACGGCGGUUCGAUUCCGCUCACCCGCU
rnacentral:tRNA from 1 species